rnacentral:lncRNA from 1 species
AGGCCCCACCCUCGAUUCGCAUGGGGAGACAUUCCGGGGCAGCCUCCCGCUGACGUGUCUCAGCACAUAAUCACAAAGAGCCAAGCACGCAUGAGUCAGAAGCAGUUAUAUCCCUAAGUCAUAAAGCAGCAGCUGGGCCCAAGAUUCCUGGCAUCCUUCCAAUCUCACCUCCCCCGCCCUAUUUACCCAGGAGCAAAAGAAGCGGAGGGAAGCAACACAGCGCAGCGUGACUACGUGCUUGAUCUGUCUCCUCCUAACGGGCAUGCAGGCAACCCAGGUGCCUUAGGUAAGUGACCCCAUUCCCUGCCCUGCCUUGGAGGGCCGGAUGAGUCAAAGAGUAAUCUUAUCCCUCUGCUAGUGAGUACAAAUGAAGUCUGUGGGCCAACAAGGAGCGAGGAGCAGUUUCCUGGAAGCCCUGGGCUGGUGUUUGACUUGCUUUGAGAUAGAAUAAAUGGGAGAAAGAGACUUUAUGGGACAUCUGGGCCUAGGGCUCCUGGAUGCUGUGCUGAAAACACCACGUACAGAAGCCAGUCUAACCUUCUGGAUGAUGAGAGCCCAGAUGCAGUACAGAGGUGCCCCAGCCAACAAUCAGCUGCUAUCUGAAUCCCAUCUGGAUCCCAUCUGAAUCCCAUGUCACCAUGAAUGAGGCCACCUUAGCCCAGCCAGCACAGCUGAAAGCCAGAAGCAGCCGCAUGCACAAGCCCAGGGGAAGCCCACAGAGGAACCACCAGCCAACACACAGAAUUGCAAGCAGUUAAGCAACUAAGAUUAAGACAACAAUUUUAAAAUGAACCAGGUCCGGCCGGGUGCGGUGGCUCUCAGGCCUGUAAUCCCAGCACUUUGGGAGGCCGAAGCGAGCGGGUCACCGGAGGUUGGGAGUUCGAGACCAGCCUGACCAACAUGGAGAAACCCCGUCUCUACUAAAAAUACAAAGUUAGCCAGGCGUGGUGGCGCAUGCCUGUAAUCCCAGCUACUCGGGAGGCUGAAGUAAGGUUAUAACAUGGCCUGGCGUGCAGUACGUGCUCAAUAAAUGCUCACCGUUAUUGUUGAUCAGGCA